ACCCCCACUAAGCGGCACAACCCAACAGCUGUUUAGUCGGCAACGGUACACAGUUAUGUGAGCGUCGAAAACUCCGAGCGUCGCAUUUCACAAUGAUUGAACGAGUCGAGCAGAGAAUUUGUAUUAAAUUUUGCCAAAAACUUGGCCACACAUGUUCCGAGACAAUCGACAUGAUCCGUAAAGUUUAUGGUAAUGACUCUAUGAGUGACACACAAAUAAAAGAAUGAUUUAGACGGUUCAAAGAUGGCCGUGUCUCAGUGGACAGUGAUCCUCGUUCCGGCAUACCUUCAACGUCGAAAACAGCGGAAUACGUGGAACGUGUGCUAUACGCAAUCAACAAAAAUCGACGUUUGACUGGGCGAGAGUUAGAAGAGAACUUUGGGAUCCCAAAAACUAUUGUUUCUCGAAUAUUGACUGAAGAUCUGGGAAUGAGAAAGAUUUGACGAUGUUGAGGAAAUAAAGCGAAAUGCGACGAGGGAGUUGUUGGCUAUCAUAAAAAACGACUUCCAGGAUUACUUUCGCAAGUGGGUGCACCGUUGGCAGAAGGUCAUUGCUUCGGAAGGACACUACUUUGAAGACGAAGUUGUUCAUAUCACUCCGGAAUAGCUCUUUCUCAUGAUACAGGCAAAGAUGUUACAUGCUGGUGUCCAUCAGCGGCUACGAAGGUCAACGAACCGGGACCUUUCUCCCGGGAGUCAAGCCGACAUAAGAUCUACUGACCGACAUUCAUUGAAUUUCUACUCUCCUGACGGAAAUAAGAAAGCUUUAUAAAACGUUGACAACCGUUCAAUGACGAUUUUUUAAAAGUUUAUACACUUUUAAACUUUAUAAGAACGCUUACACAA